UACGGAGGGGGCUAGCGUUGUUCGGAAUUACUGGGCGUAAAGAGCACGUAGGCGGACCAGAAAGUUGGGGGUGAAAUCCCGGGGCUCAACCUCGGAACUGCCUUCAAAACUAUUGGUCUUGAGUUCGAGAGAGGUGAGUGGAAUUCCGAGUGUAGAGGUGAAAUUCGUAGAUAUUCGGAGGAACACCAGUGGCGAAGGCGGCUCACUGGCUCGAUACUGACGCUGAGGUGCGAAAGCGUGGGGAGCAAACAGG
rnacentral:rRNA from 1 species